UACGUAGGGUGCGAGCGUUGUCCGGAAUUACUGGGCGUAAAGAGCUCGUAGGUGGUUUGUCGCGUUGUCCGUGAAAACUCACAGCUUAACUGUGGGCGUGCGGGCGAUACGGGCAGACUGGAGUACUGCAGGGGAGACUGGAAUUCCUGGUGUAGCGGUGGAAUGCGCAGAUAUCAGGAGGAACACCGGUGGCGAAGGCGGGUCUCUGGGCAGUAACUGACGCUGAGGCGCGAAAGCUAGGGGAGCGAACGGG
rnacentral:rRNA from 1 species